rnacentral:rRNA from 1 species
GACGAACGCUGGCGGCGCGCCUAACACAUGCAAGUCGAACGAGAGAUGAGGAGCUUGCUCUUCAAAUCGAGUGGCGAACGGGUGAGUAACGCGUGAGGAACCUGCCUCAAAGAGGGGGACAACAGUUGGAAACGACUGCUAAUACCGCAUAAGCCCACGGCUCGGCAUCGAGCAGAGGGAAAAGGAGCAAUCCGCUUUGAGAUGGCCUCGCGUCCGAUUAGCUAGUUGGUGAGGUAACGGCCCACCAAGGCGACGAUCGGUAGCCGGACUGAGAGGUUGAACGGCCACAUUGGGACUGAGACACGGCCCAGACUCCUACGGGAGGCAGCAGUGGGGAAUAUUGCACAAUGGGGGAAACCCUGAUGCAGCGACGCCGCGUGGAGGAAGAAGGUCUUCGGAUUGUAAACUCCUGUUGUUGAGGAAGAUAAUGACGGUACUCAACAAGGAAGUGACGGCUAACUACGUGCCAGCAGCCGCGGUAAAACGUAGGUCACAAGCGUUGUCCGGAAUUACUGGGUGUAAAGGGAGCGCAGGCGGGAGAACAAGUUGGAAGUGAAAUCCAUGGGCUCAACCCAUGAACUGCUUUCAAAACUGUUUUUCUUGAGUAGUGCAGAGGUAGGCGGAAUUCCCGGUGUAGCGGUGGAAUGCGUAGAUAUCGGGAGGAACACCAGUGGCGAAGGCGGCCUACUGGGCACCAACUGACGCUGAGGCUCGAAAGUGUGGGUAGCAAACAGGAUUAGAUACCCUGGUAGUCCACACCGUAAACGAUGAUUACUAGGUGUUGGAGGAUUGACCCCUUCAGUGCCGCAGUUAACACAAUAAGUAAUCCACCUGGGGAGUACGACCGCAAGGUUGAAACCCAAAGGAAUUGACGGGGGCCCGCACAAGCAGUGGAGUAUGUGGUUUAAUUCGACGCAACGCGAAGAACCUUACCAAGUCUUGACAUCCUGCGACGCACAUAGAAAUAUGUGUUUCCUUCGGGACGCAGAGACAGGUGGUGCAUGGUUGUCGUCAGCUCGUGUCGUGAGAUGUUGGGUUAAGUCCCGCAACGAGCGCAACCCUUAUGGUCAGUUACUACGCAAGAGGACUCUGGCCAGACUGCCGUUGACAAAACGGAGGAAGGUGGGGAUGACGUCAAAUCAUCAUGCCCUUUAUGACUUGGGCUACACACGUACUACAAUGGCGUUAAACAAAGAGAAGCAAGACCGCGAGGUGGAGCAAAACUCAGAAACAACGUCCCAGUUCGGACUGCAGGCUGCAACUCGCCUGCACGAAGUCGGAAUUGCUAGUAAUCGUGGAUCAGCAUGCCACGGUGAAUACGUUCCCGGGCCUU